rnacentral:rRNA from 1 species
CAUGAAGCUGGAAUUGCUAGUAAUCACAGGUCAGCAUACUGUGGUGAAUACGUUCCCGGGCCUUGUACACACCGCCGUCACACCAUGAGAGUUGAGAAUACCCGAAGCCCAUGUCAAAGUGGUCGAAGGUAGGCUUGAUGAUUGGGGUGAAGUCGUAACAAGGUAAC